AACGAACGCUGGCGGCAGGCCUAACACAUGCAAGUCGAGCGAGGACUUCGGUCCUAGCGGCGGACGGGUGAGUAACGCGUGGGAACGUGCCCUUUGCUUCGGAAUAGCCCUGGGAAACUGGGAGUAAUACCGGAUGAGCCCUUUGGGGGAAAGAUUUAUCGGCGAAGGAUCGGCCCGCGUUGGAUUAGGUAGUUGGUGGGGUAAUGGCCUACCAAGCCGACGAUCCAUAGCUGGUUUGAGAGGAUGAUCAGCCACACUGGGACUGAGACACGGCCCAGACUCCUACGGGAGGCAGCAGUGGGGAAUCUUAGACAAUGGGGGAAACCCUGAUGUAGCCAUGCCGCGUGAGCGAUGAAGGCCUUAGGAUUGUAAAGUUCUUUCAGCUGGGAAGAUAAUGACGGUACCAGCAGAAGAAGCCCCGGCUAACUCCGUG
rnacentral:rRNA from 1 species